GGUUGUAUGGUCUAGUGGUUAGGACUCCGGAUUUUGACUAGUCAUUGACUAACAUGAUUUCCGGCAGCCCCGGUUCGAACCCGGGUACGACCU
rnacentral:tRNA from 1 species